CGGCAACAGGUCAAAUUUGAAAUCUGGCCUCUUCGGGGUCCGAGUUGUAAUUUGGAGAGGAUGUUUCGGGCACGGUCCGGGCUUAUAUUUCUUGGAACAGAAUGUCAUAGAGGGUGAGAAUCCCGUCUGGAGCUCGGACACGACCUAUGUGAAACUCCUUCGACGAGUCGAGUUGUUUGGGAAUGCAGCUCUAAAUGGGUGGUAAAUUUCAUCUAAAGCUAAAUAUUGGCCAGAGACCGAUAGCGCACAAGUAGAGUGAUCGAAAGAUGAAAAGCACUUUGAAAAGAGAGUUAAAAAGUACGUGAAAUUGUUGAAAGGGAAGCGCUGGCGACCAGACUUGCGCGUCGGGGUUCCCCCUUGCUUCUGCUUGGGUUACUCCCCGGCGUUCAGGCCAACAUCGGUUUCGGGGGUUGGUUAAAGGCCUUGGGAAUGUACCUACCCUCCGGGGUAGACUUAUAGCCCAGGGUGUCAUGCGACCUCCCGGGACCGAGGAACGCGCUUCGGCUCGGAUGUUGGCGUAAUGGUUGUCAGCGACCCGUCUUGAAACACGGACCAAGGAGUCUAACAUCUAUGCGAGUGUUAGGGUGUCAAACCCUUACGCGGAAUGAAAGUGAACGGAGGUAGGAAGCCUUAAGGCUGCACUAUCGACCGAUCCUGAAGUUUACGGACGGAUUUGAGUAAUAGCAUAGCUGUUGGGACCCGAAAGAUGGUGAACUAUGCCUGAAUAGGGUGAAGCCAGAGGAAACUCUGGUGGAGGCUCGCA
rnacentral:rRNA from 1 species